rnacentral:rRNA from 1 species
GACAGAGGUCCCGAGCGUUAGGCGGAAUCACUGGGCUUAAAGCGUGUGUAGGCGGAUUUGUAAGUACCUUGUGAAAUCCCACGGCUCACCCGUGGAACUGCUGGGUAUACUGCGAGUCUUGAGCCACUUAGGGGCUGUCGGAACAGGCGGUGGAGCGGUGAAAUGCGUAGAUAUCGCCUGGAACGCCAAAGGUGAAAACAGACAGCUGGGAGUGUGCUGACGCUGAGACACGAAAGCCAGGGGAGCGAACGGG